rnacentral:lncRNA from 1 species
GCAACUCGAGCACGGUUGCCUAAGCAUGUAGAACAAAAUCAGGACAUAUCUUCUCUUUUUCGGCAGCAUAUACAAUAGUAAACGUAACUCUGUGGGGAAAAUAUACUCUUCUAAAGUGGAUUAAGUUUUAUGUGAAAAUAGUUGGAAAAAAAAAACAAAACUUUGUGGCUACUUUUAUUUUUGGUCCUUCAAGGGAACAGCUACAUGCCUAAAAGAUUCAUUCCUCAGGCAACAUGCACCAAUUAACAAUAGCCAAACACAACUUGCACGUUAAUAAGCUUUUUUUCUUUUCUUUUCAUCUAACUCUUUCAUUUUUUAUCUCUACCUCUCAGAUUCUUUUUUGCCCUGAAAACAUCGUUUUAAG